UGGACCUACGGGGGGCAGCAGUGAGGAAUAUUGGUCAAUAGCCGGAAGGCUGAACCAGCCAAGCCGCGUGAAGGACGAAGGUGCCAAGCAUUGUAAACUUCUUUUGUCAAGGGACAAAAUCAGGCUCGAGAGCCUGACCGAGGGUACUUGAAGAAAAAGCAUCGGCUAACUCCGUGCCAGCAGCCGCGGUAAUACGGAGGAUGCGAGCGUUAUCCGGAUUUACUGGGUGUAAAGGGCGUGUAGGCGGGCAUGCAAGCCAGAAGUGAAAUCUGGGGGCUUAACCCCCAAACUGCUUUUGGAACUGC
rnacentral:rRNA from 1 species